rnacentral:rRNA from 1 species
CCUACGGGAGGCAGCAGUGGGGGAUAUUGGACAAUGGGGGAAACCCUGAUCCAGCGACGCCGCGUGAGUGAAGAAGUAUUUCGGUAUGAAAAGCUCUAUCAGCAGGGAAGAAAGAAAUGACGGUACCUGAGUAAGAAGCCCCGGCUAACUACGUGCCAGCAGCCGCGGGAAUACGUAGGGGGCAAGCGUUAUCCGGAAUUACUGGGUGUAAAGGGAGCGUAGACGGUAAUGCAAGUCUGGAGUGAAAGGCGGGGGCCCAACCCCCGGACUGCUCUGGAAACUGUGUAACUGGAGUGCAGGAGAGGCAGGCGGAAUGCCUAGUGUAGCGGUGAAAUGCGUAGAUAUUAGGAGGAACACCAGUGGCGAAGGCGGCCUGCUGGACUGUAACUGACGUUGAGGCUCGAAAGCGUGGGGAGCAAACAGGAUUAGAUACCCCUGUAGUC